rnacentral:rRNA from 1 species
CAGCCGCCACGGGAAUACGAAGGGUGCAAGCGUUACUCGGAAUUACUGGGCGUAAAGCGUGCGUAGGUGGUGGUUUAAGUCCGUUGUGAAAGCCCUGGGCUCAACCUGGGAAUUGCAGUGGAUGCUGGGUCACUAGAGUGUGGUAGAGGAUAGUGGAAUUUCCGGUGUAGCAGUGAAAUGCGUAGAGAUCGGAAGGAACAUCUGUGGCGAAGGCGACUAUCUGGGCCAACACUGACACUGAGGCACGAAAGCGUGGGGAGCAAACUGGAUUAGAUACCCCAGUAGUCCCUGUCUCUUAUAC